rnacentral:rRNA from 1 species
AGUAAAUAGAUACCCAGGUAGUCCACGCCGUAAACGAUGAAUACUAGGUGUAGGAGGUAUCGACUCCUUCUGUGCCGCAGUUAAACACAAUAAGUAUUCCGCCUGGGGAGUACGGUCGCAAGAUUAAAACUCAAAGGAAUUGACGGGGGCCCGCACAAGCAGCGGAGCAUGUGGUUUAAUUCGAAGCAACGCGAAGAACCUUACCCAGACUUGACAUCUCCUGAAUUAAUCGUAAUUGAUGAAAUCCCUUCGGGGACAGGAAGACAGGUGGUGCAUGGUUGUCGUCAGCUCGUGUCGUGAGAUGUUGGGUUAAGUCCCGCAACGAGCGCAACCCUUAUCAUUAGUUGCUAACAUUCAGUUGAGCACUCUAGUGAGACUGCCCGGGUUAACCGGGAGGAAGGUGGGGAUGACGUCAAAUCAUCAUGCCCCUUAUGUCUGGGGCUACACACGUGCUACAAUGGUGGGAACAAAGAGAUGCAAGACCGCGAGGUGGAGCCAAACUCAAAAACCCGAUCCCAGUUCGGAUUGUAGGCUGAAACUCGCC